rnacentral:tRNA from 1 species
ACUGAGGUGGCGCAUCGGUCAGCGCGACCCAUAGAUAAAGGAUAGGUAGAUGGUUCGACUCCAUCCCCCAGUU